AGCACUAACCGUACAAACAUUUAAAAGAUGUUAAAUUACUACAUUAGGACUUAAUUAAUUAUUAAUUAAGUCAUUUAACUAUUAUAAAUCAAUAGCGAUACAGUUUUAUGAUUUUUACGAUUUAGUUCUUUUUCCUUAAUUAACUAUCAAAACAUUAAAAUUUUCAGACCAAAUUUCAAUUCACCUAUAUAAUAGCUCUAUAAAUAUUUAAUAAAAAUAUUUACGGGCUCGGUUUACAGAAACGAGGUCCCAAUACUUCAUUUUUCAAAACCACUUGACUUUUAGUACGCAC
rnacentral:lncRNA from 1 species